GCCUGGCGUCCCCUGCUGGCAUCUACAGCCAUGCCAUUCUGAUCCCUGAAGAUAAGCAGAGUCAGGCCUGGUCAGUACUUGAAUGGGUGACCACCUGGGAAUAUCAGGUAGGCU
rnacentral:rRNA from 1 species